CGAAGAGAGAGAAAGAAACACAGAGCGAAACCAAGAAAAUAAAACACAAAAACAAAGAGUGAGAGAGAGAGAGAGAGAAAAAGAAACUAUUUAUUACACUAAAUUAGCAGCAAAAAGGAGCGAUCAAGCUAGCUAACACUCUCACAGCCAAGAUAACCUCUCUUUCUUUGGCUUUUUUUUCAAAUCAACAACACAGAAAAAACUACAUUGAAAACCCAAGAAAACAAGCCAAGAAUCAAGCUCUCACUCUCCAAUUUUGGUGAAGUUAAUCAAAGUGGUGAAAGAAGAGAAAGGAGUUUGUUGUGGGUAUAAAGUUUGGUGAUUUGAAGUUAGGGUUUUGAUUUAUUGUGUGUUUGAAUGAAUUGGUUUUGGUUCUGGGUGAUUUGGAUUGAGAUUUUUUUAGUGGUUUGAUCUCUUAGGGUUUUGGAUUUUGUAAAGAUGAGAUUUGGGUUUGCAUUGUAUGGGUUGUUGGCGGGCGACUUUUGGGUUGUCUGGAAACAGAAAUAGCUGUUUUCCAGGUUGAGAAUCUUGGGUUUUUGUGAUUUUGGUGAAUGGUGGUGUUUGGGACUGGAUAAGCAGAGGUUGACUGUUGAUUUGCGUUUAAUUUGAUAUGUGGGUGUGUGAAUUUUGUUAUCAGGGAGGUGAAAAUAACGGUAAUUGAGUGUGCGAUUGAGGAUUUUGGGGUUUUGUGGUUCUGUUUUUGGAUGGUGUAUGAAUCUGUUUCAUGAGAAAUGCUACCUCAUCAGAGCUCCAGAGUUGAUUUGGUUGAAUUGAGAACUCAGAUAGUGAAGAAGAUUGGAGUUGAGGGGUCAAAGAAGUAUUUUUACUAUCUGAAUCGAUUUUUGAGUCAGAAGCUGAGUAAGAGUGAGUUUGAUAAGUCAUGUUUUCGCUUGCUUGGAAGGGAGAAUCUGCCACUGCACAAUAAUCUUAUACGCUCGAUAUUGAAGAAUGCCUCUCAGGCGAAGACGCCACCACCAAUUUAUGAGGCGGGUCCCACAAAAUCUCUGCUUCAAGCUCCAAACAGUUCUCCAGUUAGAGAAGAUGGGCAUGAACAAAGUGGGUCCCUUAUUCCAAAUCAAAACACACCCAUUUGGUCUAAUGGAGUUUUACCAGUGUCUCCAAGAAAGAUUAGAUCAGUGAUACGUGAUCGGAAGCAGAGAGAUAGACCGAGCCCACUUGGGCCCAAUGGGAAAGUCGAAUGUAUCUCACAUCAAUCAAUUGCUACAGAAGAUAGUGGAAGUAAGUUUGUUGUGGAGAAUGGGGAAUCGGCUCCUUGUGAUUUUCAGAGACCAGUGCAGCAUCUUCAAACAGUUGCUGAGCAAUCCGAGAAUGAAAGGGAGGGGUCAGCUCAACGGCCAAUUGAAGGAUCAAGGAUACAGAGCAAAGACCAGACAGCUUUUGUGGAAGAUGGAGAAGAGGUGGAGCAAGUAAACCGCUUGAACUUUUCUAGAAGUCCCCUACUUGCACCAUUAGGGAUUCCAUUUUGUUCAGCUAGUGUGGGUGGGGCCCGCAAAACUAUGCCAGUUGCAAGCAGUGGUGAUUUUGUUCGCUAUUAUGACAUUGGUGAAUUGUCUGAUUCAGAGAUGCUGAGGAAACGCAUGGAGCAGAUUGCAGCUGCUCAAGGCCUUGGAGGGGUUACUAUGGAAUGUGCAAACAGGUUGAAUAAUAUGUUAGAUUUGUACUUGAAGAGGUUGAUCAAGUCAUGUGUUGAGUUAGUAGGAGCACGGUCUCUGCAUGAUCCGAGAAAGCACCCUGUUCACAAGCAGCAGGCACAGAAAGUUAUCAAUCGCACGUGGGCGAGUAAUCACGUGCAUAUGCAGAGUAGCAGUGGUCCUGUAGAGGGUAUGCAGGAACAGAGACAGCAUAGGUCAAUAUCCAUGCUUGAUUUCAAAGUUGCCAUGGAGCUAAAUCCACAGCAACUUGGUGAAGAUUGGCCAUUGCAGCUGGAGAAAAUAUGUAUGCAUUCAUUCGAGGAUUGAAACAUACCUGUGAAGAUUUGUUAUCCCAAAGCUAUAAUUGGGUCAGGCUGUCCUGGUUCCAAGGCAUUGACAAUUGUUUAAAUUGGAAGUUGUUGAUGCACCCAGUUCUGUUUCUUGUUGCCAGGAUGAACCAGAUGGCUCCCCUUCUGUUGAAGCUCAGCCCCUGCAAGAUGGAAAUUGUGGGUUGAGCAUCCAGAUGUCUGUACUCUCCUGCUGCAGAUCCUGUAUGAAUCAGGAAAUUAUUUUGCAGCAACCAAGCCAGGGCAAGUUUCCAAUAGAAUGCCCACAGUUGGUUGCACUGUUGUACGAUAAGCAUCCGUGUUGGCUGUCUGCUGCCAUCGCUACAGAUCUGAAGCUCUUCUGUAUAAUUUACAGCCAACAAAGAGGAAGUCUUAGACAGUUUUGCAGGGUACUCUUGUGUAGCUUGUUGAAAGUGACUGGGCCCUGAAAACAUCCCUGCUGAAGCCUUAUUCUGCUGCUCGUGUUUCGCUUCAAGAUUGUGGGUUUUCCACGCCUACCUUAGCAUGAGUGUGUUUGUACAUGUGAAUCGCAGAAUCUGGCAAAUCUUACAUGGACUUCUGGCACAACUUAGUUAUAUUCAAAUCAUGGGGAGUGAUAAGCGAAGUAUGUAAUCUAUACACUUCCGAGUUUUGAUGGGAAAAGGGCAAAAUCUGGGGCAGAAACCAGGGAAUUUCAUAUCGUAGUGAUACAUAAUUGGCCUCCUGCAAAGCUUGGAAACAAAGUACUUGACUGAUAAUAAGCAAGAAAUAAUGUCUUUCUGCUUAUUAUCCUCUUCCGGGAAAAGAACUUUAUUCAUAGCAGUACUCUUUUAUCCCA